ACGAACGCUGGCGGCGUGCUUAACACAUGCAAGUCGAACGGAAAGGCCCUGCUUUUGUGGGGCGCUCGAGUGGCGAACGGGUGAGUAACACGUGAGUAACCUGCCCUUGACUUUGGGAUAACUUCAGGAAACUGGGGCUAAUACCGGAUAGGAGCUCCUGCUGCAUGGUGGGGGUUGGAAAGUUUCGGCGGUUGGGGAUGGACUCGCGGCUUAUCAGCUUGUUGGUGGGGUAGUGGCUUACCAAGGCUUUGACGGGUAGCCGGCCUGAGAGGGUGACCGGCCACAUUGGGACUGAGAUACGGCCCAGACUCCUACGGGAGGCAGCAGUGGGGAAUAUUGCACAAUGGGCGGAAGCCUGAUGCAGCAACGCCGCGUGCGGGAUGACGGCCUUCGGGUUGUAAACCGCUUUCGCCUGUGGCGAAGCGUGAGUGACGGUAAUGGGUAAAGAAGCACCGGCUAACUACGUG
rnacentral:rRNA from 1 species